UCGAGUCGGCCUGCGCGGAAGAUGUAACGGGGCUAAACCAUGCACCGAAGCUGCGGCAGCGACACUGUGUGUUGUUGGGUAGGGGAGCGUUCUGUAAGCCUGUGAAGGUGUGCUGUGAGGCAUGCUGGAGGUAUCAGAAGUGCGAAUGCUGACAUAAGUAACGAUAAAGCGGGUGAAAAGCCCGCUCGCCGGAAGACCAAGGGUUCCUGUCCAACGUUAAUCGGGGCAGGGUGAGUCGACCCCUAAGGCGAGGCCGAAAGGCGUAGUCGAUGGGAAACAGGUUAAUAUUCCUGUACUUGGUGUUACUGCGAAGGGGGGACGGAGAAGGCUAUGUUGGCCGGGCGACGGUUGUCCCGGUUUAAGCGUGUAGGCUGGUUUUCCAGGCAAAUCCGGAAAAUCAAGGCUGAGGCGUGAUGACGAGGCACUACGGUGCUGAAGCAACAAAUGCCCUGCUUCCAGGAAAAGCCUCUAAGCAUCAGGUAACAUCAAAUCGUACCCCAAACCGACACAGGUGGUCAGGUAGAGAAUACCAAGGCGCUUGAGAGAACUCGGGUGAAGGAACUAGGCAAAAUGGUGCCGUAACUUCGGGAGAAGGCACGCUGAUAUGUAGGUGAAGUCCCUCGCGGAUGGAGCUGAAAUCAGUCGAAGAUACCAGCUGGCUGCAACUGUUUAUUAAAAACACAGCACUGUGCAAACACGAAAGUGGACGUAUACGGUGUGACGCCUGCCCGGUGCCGGAAGGUUAAUUGAUGGGGUCAGCGCAAGCGAAGCUCUUGAUCGAAGCCCCGGUAAACGGCGGCCGUAACUAUAACGGUCCUAAGGUAGCGAAAUUCCUUGUCGGGUAAGUUCCGACCUGCACGAAUGGCGUAAUGAUGGCCAGGCUGUCUCCACCCGAGACUCAGUGAAAUUGAACUCGCUGUGAAGAUGCAGUGUACCCGCGGCAAGACGGAAAGACCCCGUGAACCUUUACUAUAGCUUGACACUGAACAUUGAGCCUUGAUGUGUAGGAUAGGUGGGAGGCUUUGAAGUGUGGACGCCAGUCUGCAUGGAGCCGACCUUGAAAUACCACCCUUUAAUGUUUGAUGUUCUAACGUGGACCCGUGAUCCGGGUUGCGGACAGUGUCUGGUGGGUAGUUUGACUGGGGCGGUCUCCUCCUAAAGAGUAACGGAGGAGCACGAAGGUUGGCUAAUCCUGGUCGGACAUCAGGAGGUUAGUGCAAUGGCAUAAGCCAGCUUGACUGCGAGCGUGACGGCGCGAGCAGGUGCGAAAGCAGGUCAUAGUGAUCCGGUGGUUCUGAAUGGAAGGGCCAUCGCUCAACGGAUAAAAGGUACUCCGGGGAUAACAGGCUGAUACCGCCCAAGAGUUCAUAUCGACGGCGGUGUUUGGCACCUCGAUGUCGGCUCAUCACAUCCUGGGGCUGAAGUAGGUCCCAAGGGUAUGGCUGUUCGCCAUUUAAAGUGGUACGCGAGCUGGGUUUAGAACGUCGUGAGACAGUUCGGUCCCUAUCUGCCGUGGGCGCUGGAGAACUGAGGGGGGCUGCUCCUAGUACGAGAGGACCGGAGUGGACGCAUCACUGGUGUUCGGGUUGUCAUGCCAAUGGCACUGCCCGGUAGCUAAAUGCGGAAGAGAUAAGUGCUGAAAGCAUCUAAGCACGAAACUUGCCCCGAGAUGAGUUCUCCCUGACCCUUUAAGGGUCCUGAAGGAACGUUGAAGACGACGACGUUGAUAGGCCGGGUGUGUAAGCGCAGCGAUGCGUUGAGCUAACCGGUACUAAUGAACCGUGAGGCUUAACCUUACAACGCCGAAGGUGUUU
rnacentral:rRNA from 1 species